AGAGUUUGAUCCUGGCUCAGGACGAACGCUGGCGGCGUGCUUAACACAUGCAAGUCGAACGCUGAAACCAGAGCUUGCUUUGGUGGAUGAGUGGCGAACGGGUGAGUAACACGUGGGUGAUCUGCCCUACACUUUGGGAUAAGCCUGGGAAACUGGGUCUAAUACCGGAUAUUCACACCACCGUAGGGGUGGUGUGGAAAGCUUUAUGCGGUGUGGGAUGAGCCUGCGGCCUAUCAGCUUGUUGGUGGGGUAAUGGCCUACCAAGGCGUCGACGGGUAGCCGGCCUGAGAGGGUGUACGGCCACAUUGGGACUGAGACACGGCCCAGACUCCUACGGGAGGCAGCAGUGGGGAAUAUUGCACAAUGGGCGCAAGCCUGAUGCAGCGACGCCGCGUGGGGGAUGACGGCCUUCGGGUUGUAAACUCCUUUCGCUAGGGACGAAGCCUUAUGGUGACGGUACCUGGAGAAGAAGCACCGGCUAACUACGUGCCAGCAGCCGCGGUAAUACGUAGGGUGCGAGCGUUGUCCGGAAUUACUGGGCGUAAAGAGCUCGUAGGUGGUUUGUCGCGUCGUCUGUGAAAUCCCGGGGCUUAACUUCGGGCGUGCAGGCGAUACGGGCAUAACUUGAGUGCUGUAGGGGAGACUGGAAUUCCUGGUGUAGCGGUGAAAUGCGCAGAUAUCAGGAGGAACACCAAUGGCGAAGGCAGGUCUCUGGGCAGUAACUGACGCUGAGGAGCGAAAGCAUGGGUAGCGAACAGGAUUAGAUACCCUGGUAGUCCAUGCCGUAAACGGUGGGCGCUAGGUGUAGGGGUCUUCCACGACUUCUGUGCCGCAGCUAACGCAUUAAGCGCCCCGCCUGGGGAGUACGGCCGCAAGGCUAAAACUCAAAGGAAUUGACGGGGGCCCGCACAAGCGGCGGAGCAUGUGGAUUAAUUCGAUGCAACGCGAAGAACCUUACCUGGGCUUGACAUGGACCGGAUCGGCGUAGAGAUACGUUUUCCCUUGUGGUCGGUUCACAGGUGGUGCAUGGUUGUCGUCAGCUCGUGUCGUGAGAUGUUGGGUUAAGUCCCGCAACGAGCGCAACCCUUGUCUUAUGUUGCCAGCACAUUGUGGUGGGUACUCAUGAGAGACUGCCGGGGUUAACUCGGAGGAAGGUGGGGAUGACGUCAGAUCAUCAUGCCCCUUAUGUCCAGGGCUUCACACAUGCUACAAUG
rnacentral:rRNA from 1 species